rnacentral:rRNA from 1 species
UACGAAGGGUGCAAGCGUUACUCGGAAUUACUGGGCGUAAAGGGUGCGUAGGCGGUUGUUUAAGUCUGUCGUGAAAUCCCCGGGCUCAACCUGGGAAUGGCGAUGGAUACUGGCGAGCUAGAGUGUGUCAGAGGAUGGUGGAAUUCCCGGUGUAGCGGUGAAAUGCGUAGAGAUCGGGAGGAACAUCAGUGGCGAAGGCGGCCAUCUGGGACAACACUGACGCUGAAGCACGAAAGCGUGGGGAGCAAACAGG